CCUGCUUAGUGUUACCGUAUAGACAUACACGCUCAUUUUUUUUUUGUUCAGUUCACCCUUGAGCAUCUUAGAUCUGACUCUAUAUUCCUGCGUGAUAAUCGGAAAAUUGGCAAAUUUAAAAUUACAUUAACAAAAAUCAAAAUUAAAAUCUUUCGUUUGACUUGAACGGAAAUUAAAAGAUCUUCCAAACGCGAGGCUACAUUGUAGCAGCUAUUUUUGUAAAAUCUAAUUAAUUUGAUUUCAUUUUACAUGUUCGUAAUUAAACUUUUAUUUUUUACUCAAUGUGACAGGUAGACCAUCGCACUACAGCGUAACCACCACCGC
rnacentral:lncRNA from 1 species